GCAAAACAAUGUCCGAUUUGGAGCGCCUCACUUGUAGCGGAAUGGAGGGAGUAAUUGAUAUGGAAUAGGGCAAAGACUACUUCAUACAUGGUCUCAAUCAUUAUAGACGAGGUUCCAAUGGCUUUCACAUAGUGGUAAGUUGGAGGUGAGAGCACAAGUCGAGGUAGCAUUGAAGAUUGACGAUAUGGAGGAGAAUGUCCUUUGUGAAAUUGUGUCUAUAAUUGCUUAUCACUUGCUACUUGGGUGGCCAUGCGAAUAUGCUAAGAGGACGACAUGAAUGGAUACUCCUACAAGGUUAAAGGGAUCAAGGUCAAACGGAAAACUCUUAUGCCACAUGUGUAUUUGAGGCUUACAAACAACUAAAAAGAUAAUAGUGAAAGCAUAAGGGUAAGUUUCAAAGUCAUGUGAGGGUGAGGAUUGUGAGAAAAACACCAAAAGGGAGAUAAGUUUCACACGAUUGUUAUUCAACUCUCGUCUUUUAUAACAACUUAUGUAACACUUGUGCGAUGCACAAA